AAAACCUCUGCUUUACCACAGGCAGAACGCGCAAGGAGAGAGAGUGAGAGGGGGAGGGGGAGAGACAGCGAGGCACCGCAGGAGAAAAAAAACGAAAAGCAGAGCACAAGCACAGCGACAGGGAGGCGGAGAGAGCGAAAAACUGAAAAAAAACCCGGCUCCCAAAUAGGAUCUUAAAACGGCUCCCAUCGUAGAGCCGGUUCCAAUCGUUCACGUCAAAGAGCCGGCUCUUUGAGCCGGAUCGUUCGCGACCGACACAUCACUAGUCUCGAGGAUGAGGUUGAGGAGGUGAUGCGUUCAACGAGUGCGUGAGCUUAACGAAAAGAGUGAUAUUUGUAGACGGAAUACUUAGUAUUUUAUACAAGUACUUUAUUGAGUGUUGGCAAAGGGUAUCCUCUGGCAGAGAAACAUCGUGUGCCACUGGAAGUUCAUGACUUUCUAAUCCACCGGAGAGGAAAAGGCUUUGGCGGCGUUGGUUAGCUGCUGCGGUUAACCAAGGAGGGACUCUGCUACCGGACCUGCGUUGUACACUGGAUUAUCAUUUUUAUAUGGGUUUAUAUCUUUAUUUGUUUGUCCUGGACAUUUCAUUUCAUAACAUCUAUUGGUAAACAGGAGAUUUAGCUCCUGUUCACCAUCAAAUGCUAAGCAUUCAGAAUCCUGUUCGUUAACACAUUUAUAUAGUAACCUUAAAUAAUAAUAUUACACUUCCAGCGCCAGGAAGGGGUUACACUUACAACUGUAAAAUUGCAUCAACUCAAUGAAUGAAACUAACAGUCCACUGUGAAAAUGAAAACUAACUACGUAGCCUCUAACACUAGCACAUUCCUCAUCCUCCAUCCCCUCUCCCUCAACGUCCAUCUCUUGAUCCAUCCAUGCAUGUUUGGCUGUGGCAAAGUCGUUUUCCAGCGUCGACUUCCGCCAGUGGUCUAACACGCAGUUGCACGGAGUGCAAAAUAAUUUGCCCCCACUGUCGUGUAACAAUCCGGGAGACUGCUUUGCACGGCCUUUUGCACUUAUUUUUGUUGACAAUUGAGGCCGCUUCAUCUUGCCUUCGUCGCGGGGUUUUGCGAUGACGUUCACGUCGCGUAAUUACGUCACUCCAUAACGUUCCCAUGGCAACAGGGGGAAAUGGCUGCUUCUUUCGCGGAAAUUGGCAAUUUAUGCGGUGAAAGUGCGGCAUAUUUGAAAAAAUGGGGCCCCCGCAUGAAUAUGCGGACUUAGGCUGAUUAUACGUUGAAUUAUGCGAUCGCAUAAUCACAUUUUUUUCUGGAGGGACUGUACAUCAAUUAAUAAAAAAAAAUAGAUUUAGUCUAUACUAACAAUCAGAUGAUUAAUAAUGAAUUCGAAUUGUACUACGGGAAUCUAUAUACAUAAGAAUUAAAGAAUCACACCCCACUCCCUGCCUUAAAUCACUUAACUUAAAACAUCUAACAGCAGAACAAAAGGAACAACUUCCGAAAGACAUUACUUGUGAGGAAAUUAAAUCUGCAAUUAAAACAUCCCCUUUAAAAAAUCUCAAGGAAUGGAUGGUAACAUACUCUGCCUCAAACAAUGUAUAAAGCAACUAUCUCGGUAAUACCAAAUCCAGGAAGAGAUUGUGAUACUUCUGCGGACUAUAGACCUAUUAGGUGAUUAUUGUGAUUAUUACUAAAGUUAUAAAUAAUAGACUUGCUCAAUUUCUAUCUGAGAUCAUCCAUCAAAACCAGACGGGAUUUAUACAGUAUACAGAGUUAAGAACCAAUACUAGGACUUAAAAUGAAAUAGACUGAACACUUAUGGCUGUGGAUGCAGAAAAAGCCUUUGAUCGUCUUCAGAGAGCAUACCUAUUUAAAGUGUUGGAAGUUUAUGGUUUCCCAGUAGAAUUUAUAAAUAUGGUUAAAAUAAUUUAUAAGUCACAAAUGACACAAGUAUAUACAAAUGGAAUUCCUCAGAUUAAUUUCCAUUAAAUAGAGGUACAGCCCAGUGAGACCCUCUGCCGGCGCCCUGCCUGUCGUCCGUCUGCUCGUUUCUGUAAAUAAAGGUCAUUACCGACUGUCUGCCUGCCUACGUGUGUUGCUUUUGGGUCCUCUCCCGAUCCAUUACAUCCGGGAGAUGUAUGCACUGUGUGCGGUGAGGGGAGACACAGUGACAAAAUAUUCUUCUGUAGGGUAUUCAGGGGGUUAAGUUGCCUGAAAAGGAUGCUGCCGUGAAAAAGUUGGGAGCCUGCAGAAAAUGUCUUGGAUGUCAGGAUGAUGAAGGAUAUUGCAGAGACUCUUUCCUAUGCAGAAAUAAUGACUGUAAGAAGGGGAGAACCUCAGAUCACCACUAUUUUCUCUGCCCAAAAGGAGAAUUCAGAAGGGGAAAUGAGGAGAAGAGUGAAAAAGGCAGAAGAGGUAUAACGCAAGCAAACAGAGGACCAAGAAGAGUUCUUGUCUGAACUUUCCCCAGAGUUAGCAGGAAAGGCCUUCACUAACAAGAAACCAAUGACAGGCAGCACUGGUAGGAAACAGCCCGAGCUUUUGGAGUCAAAUGGACUGUGCAAACUUCCUGGCCUCAUGAUGCUGAUCACCCACAAGGCUGCUCUUAGGUUGAGGUUACAAACUGAGAAGAUAACCGUAGUUCUGCACGGGCAGUGUUGGGGGUAACGCGUUAGAGUAACAAUAUUACUUUUUUGGGUAACGAAGUAAAGUAACGCUUUACAUUUAAAAUGUCGGUAUCUACACUACUUUACUAGACUAUAGUAAUGCGCUUUCCUGCGUUACCCCAGCCGUGUUUUUUUUGUGCAAACAGGGAUAUUGUUCUUUCAUAUGGUUUAU
ensembl:lncRNA